rnacentral:rRNA from 1 species
UAAUACGUAGGGCGCAAGCGUUAUCCGGAAUUAUUGGGCGUAAAGAGCUCGUAGGCGGUUUGUCGCGUCUGCUGUGAAAUCCCGAGGCUCAACCUCGGGUCUGCAGUGGGUACGGGCAGACUAGAGUGCGGUAGGGGAGAUUGGAAUUCCUGGUGUAGCGGUGGAAUGCGCAGAUAUCAGGAGGAACACCGAUGGCGAAGGCAGAUCUCUGGGCCGUAACUGACGCUGAGGAGCGAAAGGGUGGGGAGCAAACAGG